rnacentral:rRNA from 1 species
AACGUGGGUAACCUGCCCAGUAAGAGGGGGAUAACAUCCGGAAACGGGUGCUAAUACCGCAUAGUUUUCUUGAUCGCAUGAUCGGGAAAGGAAAGACGGCCUUUGUGCUGUCGCUUAUGGAUGGACCCGCGGCGUAUUAGUUAGUUGGUGAGGUAACGGCUCACCAAGACGAUGAUACGUAGCCGACCUGAGAGGGUGAUCGGCCACAUUGGGACUGAGACACGGCCCAAACUCCUACGGGAGGCAGCAGUAGGGAAUCUUCCGCAAUGGACGAAAGUCUGACGGAGCAACGCCGCGUGAGUGAAGAAGGUUUUUUACCGGAUCGUAAAACUCUGUUGUCAGAGAAGAACAAGUUGGAGAGUAACUGCUCCAGCCUUGACGGUAUCUGACCAGAAAGCCACGGCUAACUACGUGCCAGCAGCUGC